rnacentral:rRNA from 1 species
CCUACGGGAGGCUGCAGUGGGGAAUAUUGGACAAUGGGGGGAACCCUGAUCCAGCCAUGCCGCGUGUGUGAAGAAGGCCCUCGGGUUGUAAAGCACUUUCAGUGAGGAAGAACGCCUGGUGGUUAAUACCCAUCAGGAAAGACAUCACUCACAGAAGAAGCACCGGCUAACUCCGUGCCAGCAGCCGCGGUAAUACGGAGGGUGCGAGCGUUAAUCGGAAUUACUGGGCGUAAAGCGCGCGUAGGUGGCUUGAUAAGCCGGUUGUGAAAGCCCCGGGCUCAACCUGGGAACGGCAUCCAGAACUGUCAAGCUAGAGUGCAGGAGAGGAAGGUAGAAUUCCCGGUGUAGCGGUGAAAUGCGUAGAGAUCGGGAGGAAUACCAGUGGCGAAGGCGGCCUUCUGGACUGACACUGACACUGAGGUGCGAAAGCGUGGGUAGCAAACAGGAUUAGAUACCCCGGUAGUC